AAAAAAACAUGUUAUUAUGGUGGGCCUCGUAUUUGAGAUGCUCCAGCUCAUGUGGUACGGCUUUGGCUCAAAGAUGUGGAUGAUGUGGGCAGCGGGUCUUCUAGCAGCUGUAUCUUCCAUCACCUACCCGCCAUUAGUGCCUAUGUCAGCACUCAUUCUGAUGUUGAUAAGCAAGGAGUCGUGCAGGGGAUCAUUACUGGGAUGAGAGGCCUGUGCUCUGGUCUCGGCCCCGCAGUCUUCGGCUUUAUAUUCUACUCUUCCAAAUGGAUCUAAAUAUAGAGAAGACAGAAGGUGGAGAGCAGAGACCCAAUAGCUCAGCCUCUGGGAACGGCACCUCCCACCAUGGCACCAGUAGCCCAAAGCUGGUGCCUGGCCCACCAUUUGUCUUUGGUGCUCUAAUGGUUAUCUGUGCACUGCUGGUGGCUGCAUUCAUACCUGAAGAAAGAUCGUCAAAAAUCGUAAACAAUCGGGGAGCAAUUUAGACAUAUACGAGAGGGGACACAAGAAGGACGAUGGAAUGGAUACAGCGUCGUUGCCAUUAAUGGACGAGACGGGAGUGCUCUAGCCUUUUAGUGAAGGAUAGAAAGAGAAAUUAUACAAUAAAAUGAUGGAAAGAAGGAGGGGAGGCAAAAAGAAAGAAAGACAGAAAAAAAACUUUAUGACAGUGGACAAAAAAUUACCUUGGUUGAAGUAGAUGAAGAAGUAGAGAAUGGACAUUGUGUAAAAUAGGAUUAUUUUGAAUGAUUUUGUUUGUAAGGAAGGGUAAAGAAGGAAAGAAAGGAAGAAAGACAAAAAUAGAAGGGAGAAAGUGUGACCUGCUUUCCUUUUUCUUUUUUUUUAUCUUCUUCUCUUCUUUAUUAUUAUUAUUAUUUUUUUUCUUUUUCCCCUUUCCUCCUAUUGUGAUUGACGAGUCAUGAUGCGAUGGUGCGAAUACAGUGGCUCUGUGGGGGUAUUUCUUGGGAGGCAUGUGACCUUGGCAUUCAUUUGUGGCGAUGCAGUGCUGGAUGAGAAAGUGCUAUCAUUGUUACUACUAUUGUGGUUAUUUUAUUAGUAGUUGUAGUAGUACUAGAAAUAUGUAUUAUUGCCUUUGUUAUUUUAUUAUUAUAAUUUUUAUUAUGAUUAUUAUCAUUAUUAUUAUCAUGAUUAUUGAUAUUGUUAUUAUUGAUUUUGAUAUUGGUAUUAUUAGUAGUAUUAUUGACAUGAUUGGUAUUGUAGUUGGUGAUAUGGCUGAUAUGAUAAAAUAAUGAUUUUUUUUAAUAUCAUUAUUAUAAACAGUGCUUGAUUACUAUUAUUUUUUGAGGAGUGUUAGUAAUAAUUUUUUUUAUAUCAGUAUUUUUAGUAGAAGCGGACAACAUUUCUGUCUUCGUAAUGUGUCUCUCAAGGUGACAGAUGAUAAAGACUUUGAUAAUUAGUUAUGAAUGAGAAACUAAAAAAAGGAAAGAUAGGAAAAAAAUGAAUGAAAAAAGUGCACACUUGCAGUGACUCCAUUUUUUUAGAGUUUGAAGCAUUUGAAAUGACAAACCAGCAAGAGAGAUAUAGUGAAAAAAAUAUAUAUAUACAUUGAACUUUGUCUUUUAGAUUUAAAAAACUCUCUCUGAUAACAACACAUGUCACAAACAGAAGGGAUAAAAAAGGAAUAGAACAGGUAACAGACACAUUUGGUGCUGGUGGACAGGAAAUGAUUGAUGGAAAAUCUCUUCUCUCGACUUUAUACAGUGUGUAAAGUGAUGACAGAUUGUUGUUGUUGGUGUUAAUUUUUUUUUAUUAUUAUUAUUAUUUAUUUAUAUAUAUAUAUUUUUUGUCUUUCUAUUUUUUCAUUGUUUUUUCAUUUUGAAUAGGUAUUUGUAUAAAUACUGGAAACCAGAUAGUGACUGAUUUUAAAUUCAAGAUUUUCUUGUUGUGAAAUUUUUCUUUCUUUUCUUUUGCUCUCUUUCAAAAUUGAAGAUCUUUGACACAUAUCAGAAGUAUGAAUAGCAUGGUGUUUGCAUUUUCUUUGUCAUUUUCGAUCCCAUCUUCUUUUUUCUUCAUUUUUAUCUCGAGAAUAAAAAUCAAAAAGAUGAAGUGUGUCUGUGAGUGUGUAUAUGUGUGAAUUCAUAUAGAUGUUAAAAAGGAUUUUUAAAGAACUAGAAAACGAACACCAAAAAGCUCAUAGAUUCUUCAUUUUGGAAUGGUAUGUCAUUCGAGCAUGCAUACAGUAUUUUCCGAUGAUGGACCAAGGUCUUUAAGUUUGCUUGAUUCUACAGGCAUUUUAACUGUGCUGUUUCAUGCUACUGCUAAUCUGAGACUGGUUGGGUUUGGGUUGUCCCCAAAGCAUGCCUUUUUGUGAUAAACUUUUAAAAACUGAAUAAAAUAUAUUAGAUAAAAUGAAGUAAAUGAGUGCAUGCUUGCAAAAAAAAAUAAUAAUAAAACAAAAAUAAAAAAUAAAUAGAUAAAAAUUGCUUGAAGAGAUGCAUCGUCACUGCAAAGAGUUGAAAAGGAAGAGGAGAGAAAAUGAAAGGAUAGAUUAUGUAUAUACGGAAACGCUUCAAGAAACGUGUCGCUGACAAGGAGACAGAGACGAAAGAAAUGUCAGAAAGGAACAGCAGGAAAAAAGAGCUUGAAAAAAAAAAAUUUAUAAUAUAAAGGUCAUCGGCCGCAUCCCCCAGCCAUCAUCGCACGUUGUGAGUUAAUUAUGAUAUUGUGACGGUCUUACAUGAAUUUUUUCUUUUUUUAUUUUUUAUUUAUUAUUUUUAAAGACACAAUAAUAAUAUCCAUACAUAUAUGUAAAUGUUUAAUCUUCUUUUGUCCUCACUUCUGUGUGCAUUGUAAUGAUAAAGAAUGAAAGAAAGAAAAAAGUAAAAAAAAAAAUAACAAAA